GAAAGUGCAGAUGGAUAUCCAUGUGACUCUUGCGUGGCUGUAACAGAUGGUGUGAUUUGUAGUUUAGCUUUCUUCUGCUGAUAGGAUUCACGACGCUUCUUAAGUAGCUCCUCUUUUUUGUGUUUAUCCAUUUCUGCAUAUCUCUGUCUACGCUGUUGUUUGAUUCGUUCUUUCGCAUCACUAGGCUCCCCUCCAUUACUUGUGGAGAUGGUGUUGGACAAGUCUUUGAAAGGAGUUCGUUCAGUCGAGUGUUUCGACGGCUCCAUCUGCAAGGUGUCCUGAUAAAAAAGCACGGAAGUACUGGCGUGUGACCUUUAUGAGUUCGAUAGGAUCUGGAAUGACAUGAGGACAUAUCAGGAUAUAGACUAUGUCAUGUCCAAAGCCAAGAAGAAGUAAGAAACUGAUGUGAUGUCUGAGCGUCAAAGAAGAGGCGGCAGACCAAUGAGGCAGACCACGGGGCAUCGGCGAGGCGGCAGACCAAUGAGGCAGACCACGGGGCGUCGGUGAGGCGGUAGACCAAUGAGGCAGACCACGGGGCGUCGGCGUUGGCAACCAGCAAGGUCGAUGGAGAGAUUGCAGUCGUCGGCGAAGAUACGGCAGACCACGGGGCGGCGAGCUGGUUGCCAGAAGGCAGGCGUCAAAGAAGAGAUGUCAGACCACGAGGCAGCGAGGUGGUUGCCGGACGGCAGGCGUCGGAGUAAAGACGACAACGUGAGGAUGAGAAGAGACGGCAGCGUGAGGGGGAGGUGAUUUCGUUGGUCUGAUUGAUUUCCAUAUACGUUUUGGCUGAUUUUUUCCUUGUACGUGAGGGGGAGAUGAUUUGGUUGGUCUGAUUGGUUUCCGUACACGUUUUGGCUGAUUGAUUU